CUGGAUCUGAGAUGGACUCCGCAUACUGCAUUUAUACGUUUACAGACAUCAACUUUAUUUUCCUGCCACCAAACCACAUUUAUUCUGAGAUGCAGUAAACACUGCUCCUUUUCAGAAAAUCUGUUUAAAGCAACUGAUUUGCAAGAUUAUUUUGUAGCUGAGAACAAUUAAGAACUCUAACAGCUUAACCAGCUGUGAUAAUUAGCACUCACUGAGACUGUCUUUGGGGAAAUACAGCACACUGUCUUAUUUUAGUUCUUCCACAGUAAGGACUGAGAAAAUAAUGCAAAUAACCACCGUUCCUCAGAGCAGCUCCUUGGGAUGGGGAGCCUGGGGAGGAGUCUGGGCUGGGCAUGAGCUGCCACAGAGGUGAUUUCUGCCCGCCCAGUUCCCAAGGUGUGUCAUUUUGGUAAACACAGGUGAUAAAUUUAACUCGUCAUCACGAUGUAAGCAAAACCUGUUGUCAGUUAGGACGGAAGUGCAUGCUGCUCCCUUUCUUACAGGCAGGGCUAUUUUAUUUAUAAGUCCUAGAAGCGGCCCCUGGGCUCCUGCCUAGGCUGGGGGGCAGUGGUGGUCCAGGGCAGGAUGCAGGAUGCAGGGGGAGCUGCUGGGGCACGGCCCCGAGCUGCCCCGGCCGGUCCUGUGCCCUGCCAGAGCUGCUGGCAGCAAAGCAAAGAACGCCCAGGACAUGGCUUUGCAGAUGGCUGAUCCAGGUAAAGAAGCUUUCAGGAAUGAGAGAAGGCCUACAAGUUUCGAUAAAAAGGUGCUAGUAUGGUCAGGAUGCUUUAAAAGGAGGACAUUCCCAGGCACAUAUUUGGGCCUCUGAAGGAAUGAACAUUCCUCUGGAAAAUCCCUGGAGAGAGCAGAUAUCUCCAACAUGUGUGGAGCUUCCAAUGAAUCCAUUCUGCUUCACCUCUGGGACACUCUGGGAUGUCAGUGCCAGAGCAAUGUACAGCUGGGGCAGCAGCCAAAGGAAACCCACAAACUGCACUUUUGUUCUCUGUCAGCAUCACAUGCAGCCUGAGUAAUAUUUGUUUUGUUUCCAUUUUAAGGGAUUGAAUGUGUUGGGUGUUUCCAGCAGGCGGGCAAACCACGUCUCUGCAGUAUCAUGGCUUUUGUUGGUGACAGUUUCCAUGGUGUUGGUGUUCCCUCAGUCUCAGAGUUAGCACAAUUUAAUUAUCUCCAAAAUGGUGUUUAAAUUGGCCAUCUCGUUAAAAAAUUAGACCCUGGUAAUUAUGGGCUUUUCUAAAUAAUCUAAUAAGGACACUUCUGCUUUGAUGAGGAGAGUUUAACUGUAAAAGAUUUAAAAUGUGCUUACAGGAACUGGGAUCCACAGGAAUGCCUGGAGAGUGAAGGUUCUCUCUGCUCUGUACAGCUAAAGCCCAACUUCUAGAUGGAAAAAGGAGCUACUGGUUUAAUUGCAUUAAAGUCAUCAGGUCCCUGAAACACAGCAGCAUUGGCUUGUGCAGAGACAGAAGGAUCAAGCCUGUGUUGGGAGAGUUCCCUGCUCAGGGUUUGUAGAAAAUUCUGCUCUGAGUCUUCUUGCCACACCAAAAUGCAAUGGUGGUAUCAUGAUACUGACUUACAAACCAUGAGAUACGUAGAAAGUAAUAUAACUAGUGGGGUUUUUUUGGUUUAGUUUUUGGUUUUUCCCUUUUAGGAUUUAAGUCUUCAAAAUGCACAUACUUAGGCUUUAUUCUGAGCCUUUUGGAGAAGCAAAGGAGAUGCUGAGAUUCUCCCUGUAAUCACCUGCCUCUGGGAUCUGCAGCUCCAAAAAUGGUACCAGGUAUCAGCAGAGCUUCUGAAAUCCCAGAGGUUCAGAGCUG
rnacentral:lncRNA from 1 species